GAAUGCUGACAUAAGUAACGAUAAAGCGGGUGAAAAGCCCGCUCGCCGGAAGACCAAGGGUUCCUGUCCAACGUUAAUCGGGGCAGGGUGAGUCGACCCCUAAGGCGAGGCCGAAAGGCGUAGUCGAUGGGAAACGGGUUAAUAUUCCCGUACUUGGUGUUACUGCGAAGGGGGGACGGAGAAGGCUAUGUUGGCCGGGCGACGGUAGUCCCGGUUUAAGCGUGUAGGUGUGUGUUCCAGGCAAAUCCGGUUCACUUUAACACUGAGGCGUGAUGACGAGGCACCACGGUGCUGAAGCAACAAAUGCCCUGCUUCCAGGAAAAGCCUCUAAGCAUCAGGUAACAUCAAAUCGUACCCCAAACCGACACAGGUGGUCAGGUAGAGAAUACCAAGGCGCUUGAGAGAACUCGGGUGAAGGAACUAGGCAAAAUGGUGCCGUAACUUCGGGAGAAGGCACGCUGACACGUAGGUGAAGUGAUUUACUCAUGGAGCUGAAGUCAGUCGAAGAUACCAGCUGGCUGCAACUGUUUAUUAAAAACACAGCACUGUGCAAACACGAAAGUGGACGUAUACGGUGUGACGCCUGCCCGGUGCCGGAAGGUUAAUUGAUGGGGUCAGCGCAAGCGAAGCUCCUGAUCGAAGCCCCGGUAAACGGCGGCCGUAACUAUAACGGUCCUAAGGUAGCGAAAUUCCUUGUCGGGUAAGUUCCGACCUGCACGAAUGGCGUAAUGAUGGCCAGGCUGUCUCCACCCGAGACUCAGUGAAAUUGAACUCGCUGUGAAGAUGCAGUGUACCCGCGGCAAGACGGAAAGACCCCGUGAACCUUUACUAUAGCUUGACACUGAACAUUGAGCCUUGAUGUGUAGGAUAGGUGGGAGGCUUUGAAGCGUGGACGCCAGUCUGCGUGGAGCCGACCUUGAAAUACCACCCUUUAAUGUUUGAUGUUCUAACGUGGACCCGUAAUCCGGGUUGCGGACAGUGUCUGGUGGGUAGUUUGACUGGGGCGGUCUCCUCCUAAAGAGUAACGGAGGAGCACGAAGGUUGGCUAAUCCUGGUCGGACAUCAGGAGGUUAGUGCAAUGGCAUAAGCCAGCUUGACUGCGAGCGUGACGGCGCGAGCAGGUGCGAAAGCAGGUCAUAGUGAUCCGGUGGUUCUGAAUGGAAGGGCCAUCGCUCAACGGAUAAAAGGUACUCCGGGGAUAACAGGCUGAUACCGCCCAAGAGUUCAUAUCGACGGCGGUGUUUGGCACCUCGAUGUCGGCUCAUCACAUCCUGGGGCUGAAGUAGGUCCCAAGGGUAUGGCUGUUCGCCAUUUAAAGUGGUACGCGAGCUGGGUUUAGAACGUCGUGAGACAGUUCGGUCCCUAUCUGCCGUGGGCGCUGGAAGACUGAGGGGGGCUGCUCCUAGUACGAGAGGACCGGAGUGGACGCAUCACUGGUGUUCGGGUUGUCAUGCCAAUGGCACUGCCCGGUAGCUAAAUGCGGAAAAGAUAAGUGCUGAAAGCAUCUAAGCACGAAACUUGCCCCGAGAUGAGUCUUCCCUGAGACUUUGAGUCUCCUGAAGGAACGUUAAAGACGAUGACGUUGAUAGGCCGGGUGUGUAAGCGCAGCGAUGCGUUGAGCUAACCGGUACUAAUGAACCGUGAGG
rnacentral:rRNA from 1 species